UUGUAAAUUAAUAAAGAAAUGUUAAAAUUAACGACGCAGUUAAAGCAUUUUAAAUUUUUAUUUGGGAGCUCAAUUAUAUAUUAAGCGGUCAUACCUUUUUCUUCCCUUCACUCCCGCUCUAUCUCAUUGCUCCCACUCCUAUUCAAUUUACAUUUUUUCAAAUUGGGCGAAUUCACUUCAUUGAUCAUUAGUAUAUCUUGCAGAUAAAGUGAUCAAGUGGUGGAAUUGUCUAAAUCUCUCUUCACCGAUGGAAUUCUCUCUCUCCCUCUCCCUCUCUGUUUCCGUGAGGAUAGAUGUUGAAGCUGUCGAGGCAGCUCCUCCGCUCCUCAAGGAUAUGAGCCAUCAAACUCAACACAUGGGUUGAUUGCUAAGGAUCUACAUGGAAAUGAAUGGCAAUCAAGCACAUAUAUAGAGAGUUGUUUGCAAGUUUGGAUCUUGCGGAAUGGAGAAGCAGGCAUUUGGUAAAUGGAAAUGGCACACAGGUUGAAGCACAAGUUGCUUCAUAUCGUACAAGAGCACUAUGAACCUGUUUGCGCAAAAUGGACAACAGAAAGGUGCGCAGUAUGUCGAUGGGUUGGAGAUUGGGACUUCAACAAAAUUAUUAUUUGUAUUUGGUAUGUGUCUUGCUUGACUCCAUUUGUUGCUUUUAGCUACAUGACUGUUCAUAAAAAAUACUCCUUUAGGUGAUGAAUACGAUGUUAAUUUUUCAUUGUUACUCUCAAGUGUCAAAUUUUUGUUCAUCAAAAAUGCUAUGGAGCAAGAAACGUUAGCUACUUUGCUUCGUGGAUCUAAAGAGCAUUAGAAACAAAUGAUAUAGAGAGGGAAUGUUGUCUCCGUCCUGUGAAGGGUGUGG